rnacentral:rRNA from 1 species
GUACACGCUGUGACUAGCAUAUCAAUAAGCGGAGGAAAAGAAACUAACAAGGAUUCCCCUAGUAACGGCGAGUGAAGCGGGAAGAGCUCAAAUUUGAAAUCUUAAAGGGUUUCCCUUUACGAAUUGUAGUUUAAAGAAGUGUUUUCUGUUGAGGUUUUGGUAAAAGUUCUUUGGAAUAGGACAUCAUAGAGGGUGAGAAUCCCGUAUUUGACCUUUACUUUCAACUUUGUGAUACACUUUCAAAGAGUCGGAUUGUUUGGGAAUGCAGUCCAAAGUGGGUGGUAAAUUUCAUCUAAAGCUAAAUAUUGGCGAGAGACCGAUAGCGAACAAGUACCGUGAGGGAAAGAUGAAAAGAACUUUGAAAAGAGAGUUAAACAGUACGUGAAAUUGUCAAAAGGGAAGCGUUUGACACCAGUGUUGUUUUUCUGAAAAUCAAUUAAAGAACUGUUUAUGCUAAGCUUGUUUAGACUUUAUCAGCUAUCUGUUUAGUUUUGAGCUUUUCUUUAAUGCACUUUUCAGUUAACAAGUCAACAUCAAUUUCUUUUGCUGUAAAAAAGCUUGAGGAAGGUGGCUUGAGAUUCGUCUUAAGUGUUUAUAGCCUCUUGCCUAUGCAGUCGGAGAGAUUGAGGUCUGCAGCGUAGAUCCUUCGGGGCUAAAUGCAUUUGUGCUAAGUUAUAGCAUUUUAUAGACAACUUGUUGACUAUGAUUUGUCUUGUAGCUUACUCGCUUAUGUUAUUUUACCUACGCUUAGGAUGUUGACUGAUAUGUAGUCGUA